UCUCCGUUGGUGAACCAGCGGAGGGAUCAUUGCUGGAACUGUGUCCUCACGGGCACUACCCCAGAUACCCCUUUGUGAACUUAUACCAUUUUAUCGUUGCCUCGGCGCUGAGCCCGGAGAGGGGGAAGGGGGUGGUGGUUGGUCUCUAAACUCUUCGCGAGUUUCUUCUCCUCCCUCCUCCCCCCCCCGCCCUCUUCCCUGCCGCUGGGUACCCCCCAGCGUUAGGAGCAGGCCCGCCGGCGGCCCACCAAACUCUUUAUUUUUCAAACCCGUCCCUUCUGAGCUUAAUACAAACAAAUGAAUCAAAACUUUCAACAACGGAUCUCUUGGUUCUG
rnacentral:misc_RNA from 1 species